GUUGUUUGUAGACUACUUUUUUACUAAAAAAAAAAUUUUUUUUUUUAGUAUUCUUUUAAAAAAAUAUUUUUUUUUUCUAAAAAGAAUUUAUUAAUAUUUUUUAUUCAAAAUUUUGUAUUUUAUAUUAUAUACCUUUUGUAUCAGGGUUUUUUAAAAUCGGUACAUAUAUUAUAUUUCUCGAAAAAAAUAUAAUUAAUUAUUUAUUUUUUUUUUAUUAUCGAAAAAAUAUGAUAAAUAAUUAUAGGUGAAAUGUUAUAGGUAUUUUAUAUCUAGUUAAUCUAAAUAAAAAUAAUUUUUUAUUAUUUUUAUAAAUUAAAGUCUUUAUAUCUAAUAUUAAUAUAUAUUAUAAUAAUAAAAUAAUUUUUUAAAGAAAAUUAUUUUUUUACUCUAGUAAAACCAAACUUUAAAAAUAAUUUUUUUAAGAAUUGAUUAACUUUUAAUGGAUAAAUAAUAAAAAACAAAAAAAUUUUUAUGUAAAAUGAAAAAAUAAGUAUUUAUUAAAAAAAAAAUAAGUAAUUAAGCAAUUAUAUUAUAUUUUAAAUCAAAUGUUUAACAAAAACAUUUCUUUAUAAAAAUAUGAAGUAUAAUCUGCCCGGUGAUAUUUAUUUAACGGUUGUUUUCACUAAGGUAGCGUAAUAACUUGUCGUUUAAUUAAUGAAUAUAAUGAAGAUUUAAUGAAUUUAAAUCUGUCUCAAUUUUUUCAUAAAAAUUUAAAUAUUAAGUUAAAAUUCUUAAAUAAAUUUAAGGGACGAAAAGACCCUAUAGAUCUUAUCUAAUUUUUUAGAUUUACUGGGGAAGUAAAAAUAAAAAUAAAAUUAUUUUUAAAAAGAAUAGCCUUUAGCCUUAAUUUUUAUCCAAAAUAUUUGAAUUAAAAAGUUACCUUAGGGAUAACAGUAUAAAUAAUAUAAAAAGACCUUAUUUAUAUAUAUAUUUAUAACCUCGAUGUUGAAUUAAAUUAAAUAAUCAAUGCAGUACUUGAUUUAAUUUGAUCUGUUCGAUCAUAAAAAAUUUACAUGAUUUGAGUUCAAACCGGUGUAAACUAGGUUGGUUUCUAUCUUUAAAUUAAUAUAAAAAUUUUGUUAGUACGAAAGGACCACAAAUAAAAAUUUAAUUUUA
rnacentral:rRNA from 1 species